rnacentral:rRNA from 1 species
GGUGAACGCUGGCGGCGUGCUUAAGACAUGCAAGUCGAACGGCAGUCUUCGGACUGUAGUGGCGCACGGGUGAGUAACGCGUAACUGACCUACCCCACAGUCGCGGAUAACGAUUCGAAAGAAUCGCUAAUACGUGAUGUGCUGUCAGAUUGUGUUCUGCCAGUAAAGAUUGAUUGCUUUGGGAUGGGGUUGCGUUCCAUCAGCUAGUUGGGGGGGUAAAGGCCCACCAAGGCGACGACGGAUAGCAGGCCUGAGAGGGUGGCCGGCCACAGGGGCACUGAGACACGGGUCCCACUCCUACGGGAGGCAGCAGUUAGGAAUCUUCCACAAUGGGCGAAAGCCUGAUGGAGCGACGCCGCGUGAGGGAUGAAGGUCUUCGGAUCGUAAACCUCUGAAUCAGGGACGAAAGACACUUCGGUGGGAUGACGGUACCUGAGUAAUAGCACCGGCUAACUCCGUGCCAGCCGCCGCCGUAAAAC